rnacentral:rRNA from 1 species
GGGAUAUUGCACAAUGGGGGAAACCCUGAUGCAGCGACGCCGCGUGAAGGAAGACGUGCUCCGGCAUGUAAACUUCUAUCAGCAGGGAAGAAGAUGACGGUACCUGACUAAGAAGCCCCGGCUAACUACGUGCCAGCAGCCGCGGUAAUACGUAGGGGGCAAGCGUUAUCCGGAUUUACUGGGUGUAAAGGGAGCGUAGACGGCAAUGCAAGUCUGAUGUGAAAACCCGGGGCUCAACCGCGGGAUUGCAUUGGAAACUGUAUAGCUCGAGUACUGGAGGGGCAGGCGGAAUUCCUGGUGUAGCGGUGAAAUGCGUAGAUAUCAGGAGGAACACCGGUGGCGAAGGCGGCCUGCUGGACAGAGACUGACGUUGAGGCUCGAAAGCGUGGGGAGCAAACA